rnacentral:lncRNA from 1 species
GCGCACGCCUGUAAUCCUAGCAGCUCAGGAGGCUGAGGCAGGAGGAUCACAAGUUCAAAGGCAGCCUCAGCAGCUCAGCAAGGCUCUAAGCAACUCAGCAAGACCCUGCCUCUCUAUAAAACCUAAAAAAGGGCUAAACACACACACACACACACACACACACAUUCCUUUUCGUAAAUUUGCCCUGAAGUUCAACUGACAGGUGGUUUCUAUCCCAAUUACUCCCUCCUGUUUUCUCUGGUCUUUUCACCUGCUUUCCUAAUUUAUUGUCAUAUUCCAACAGAUUUAUUGAGGUACGAUUCACACCCUAUACAACUCACUGAAGUGUAAAGUGGCCCAUUCAAUGGUUUCUCACAGAGUUGGGCAACUGUCACCACCAUCUAAUUUUAGAACACUUUCAUCACCACCAAAGGAAACCUCGUCCCCCUGAGCAGUCACUCCUGUCCCUGUGCCACCCCUGCCCUCUGCUCUGGGCAACUGCUGAUCCCCUUCCUGUCACGGACGGGAGGCCUGCAGGCUGCUCCGUGUGUGCCUGGGCUUCCCUCCCCCGUUACCGGGCCCUCUCCAGGGUCCCUCCGCGGGCAGCAUGUGCGCGUCAGCUUCAGACCUCUGACGCCUGAGAGCGUUCCAUUUCAC